rnacentral:rRNA from 1 species
UAAAAUAAUUAAGGGCACACAAAGGAUGCCUAGGUAGUAAGAGCCGAUGAAGGACGUGGUAAGCUGCGAUAAGCCUAGAUAAGUUGCAAUCGAACGUAAGAGUCUAGGAUUUCCGAAUGGAGCAAUCUAUUAAGAUGGAGUCUUAAUACGAAAGAGGGAACCGCGUGAACUGAAACAUCUAAGUAACGCGAGGAAAAGAAAGUAAAAACGAUACCCAAAGUAGCGGCGAGCGAAAUGGGUCAAGCCUAAACCUUAAAUAUGUCAAGGAUACAGCCGUUGUAUUUAAGGGGUUGAGGGACAGAGUAGUGAAGAACUGUAAGAUAUUCAAUAUAGUGUAUUGAUGAAUUGGAAUUGUCUGGAAAGGCGAACCGUAGAAGGUGAAAGUCCUGUACAAGUAAAUCCUUACACAUAUAACUCUGCUCCCAAGUAACAUGGAACACGAGGAAUUCUGUGUGAAUCUGUGAGGACCAUAUCUCAUAAGGCUAAAUACUCUUACUAACCGAUAGCGCAUAGUACCGUGAGGGAAAGGUGAAAAGAACCCCUGGAGGGGAGUGAAAUAGAACCUGAAAUUGUGUGCUUACAAGCGGUCAGAGCCAGUAAUGGUGAUGGCGUGCCUUUUGGAGAAUGAUCCUGCGAGUUACGUUAAACGGCGAGGUUAAGUAUAACGGAGCCGAAGGGAAACCAAGUCUUAAUAGGGCGAUUUAGUCGUUUGGCGUAGACGCGAAACCUGGUGAUCUAAACCUGUCCAGGAUGAAGCUGUGGUAAGACACAGUGGAGGUCCUAACCCACCGCCGUUGAAAAGUUGGGGGAUGAGGUAGGUUUAGGGGUGAAAAGCCAAUCGAACCAGGAGAUAGCUCGUUCUCUCCGAAAUGUAUCUAGGUACAGCCUUGAGUGUUCAAUUAUGGGGGUAGAGCACUGAAUGAUCUAGGGGGCGUAUUGCUUACUGAAAUCAAUCAAACUCCGAAUACCAUAAUUUAUAGCUCAGGAGUGAGACUAUGGGAGUUAACUUCCAUUGUCGAAAGGGAAACAACCCAGACCACCAGCUAAGGUCCCUAAUUAUAACUAAGUGGGAAAGGAGGUGGAGAUUCACAAACAACUAGGAGGUUGGCUUAGAAGCAGCCAUACCUUUAAAGAGUGCGUAAUAGCUCACUAGUCGAGAGUCUCUGCGCCGACAAUGUAACGGGGCUAAGUUAUAAACCGAAGCUGUGGAAUCCGUAAGGAUUGGUAGGAGAGCGUUCUGUAGGCCGUUGAAGGAGAAGGGUAACCGACUCUGGAGGUAUCAGAAGUGAGAAUGCAGGAAUAAGUAGCGAGAAAGGGGGCGAGAAUCCCCCUCGCCGGAAGACCAAGGUUUUCAGGGUAAAGCUUGUCUUCCCUGAGUAAGCCGGGACCUAAGCCCAGGCUAUAAUGCGUAGGCGAAUGGAAAACAGAUUAAUAUUUCUGUGCCAGUCAUAUAUUGUGAUGGAGGGACGCAGAAGGGUAUGCGCGCGGACGAACGGAAGUGUCCGUAGAAGUAUGUAGGAUGACUUGAUAGGAAAAUCCAUUGAGUUAUAUCUGAGGUAUGAUAUACAGUCGUAAGAUGAAUGCGCAAAUCCCACGCUGCCAAGAAAAGCUUCUAACGUUAAUAUUUGACUGCCCGUACUGCAAACCGACACAGGUGGUCAGGAUGAGAAAUCUAAGGCGGACAGGCUAACUCUCGUUAAGGAACUCUGCAAAAUAACCUCGUAACUUCGGGAGAAGAGGAGCCCUUGAGGGUCAGUAUCCACGCGAUACAAAGCGCUCGAGGGUCGCAGUGAAGAGGCUCAAGCAACUGUUUAACAAAAACACAGGUCUAUGCUAAGCUGGAAGGCGAUGUAUAUGGGCUGACACCUGCCCAGUGCUGGAAGGUUAAGAGGAGGAGUGAGAGCUCCGAAUUGAAGCCCCAGUGAACGGCGGCCGUAACUAUAACGGUCCUAAGGUAGCGAAAUUCCUUGUCGGGUAAGUUCCGACC